AGGGCACCACCAGGAGUGGAGCCUGCGGCUUAAUUUGACUCAACACGGGGAAACUUACCCGGCCUGGACACUGGAAGGAUUGACAGAUUGAGAGCUCUUUCUUGAUUCAGUGGGUGGUGGUGCAUGGCCGUCCUUAGUUGGUGGAGCGAUUUGUCUGGUUAAUUCCGAUAACGAACGAGACUCUAGCCUAUUAAAUAGGCUCCCGGCUUUUAAACGCCGGGAGGACUUCUUAGAGGGACAGGUGGCGGUUCAGCCGCACGAAAGAGAGCAAUAACAGGUCUGUGAUGCCCUUUGUUGUCCGGGGCCGCACGCGCGCUACACUGAAGAGAUCAGCGUGCUUUAUGUUCCUGCUCCGACCGGAGUGGGGAACCCAGUGAACCUUCUUCGUGAUUGGGAUAGAAGAUUGUAAUUAUUCUUCUUGAACGAGGAAUUCCCAGUAAAUGCGAGUCAUAAGCUCGCGCUGAUUACGUCCCUGCCCUUUGUACACACCGCCCGUCGCUACUACCGAUUGAACGAUUU
rnacentral:rRNA from 1 species